UAAGCGGAGGAAAAGAAACUAACAAGGAUUCCCCUAGUAACGGCGAGUGAAGCGGGAAGAGCUCAAAUUUGAAAUCUGGUGGCCUCAGGCUAUCCGAGUUGUAAUCUAUAGAAACAUUUUCCGCGUUGGCCCAUGUACAAGUCUCUUGGAAUAGAGCGUCAUAGAGGGUGAGAAUCCCGUCCUUGACAUGGACUACCAGUGCUUUGUGAUAUGUUUUCAACGAGUCGAGUUGUUUGGGAAUGCAGCUCAAAAUGGGUGGUAAAUUCCAUCUAAAGCUAAAUAUUGGCGAGAGACCGAUAGCGAACAAGUACCGUGAGGGAAAGAUGAAAAGCACUUUGGAAAGAGAGUUAAACAGUAUGUGAAAUUGUUGAAAGGGAAACGAUUGAAGUCAGUCGUGUCUAUUGGACUCAGCCGGUUCUGCCGGUGUACUUCCUUUAGAUGGGGUCAACAUCAGUUUUGAUCGCUGGAAAAGGGCAGGAGGAAUGUAGCACUCUCGGGUGAACUUAUAGCCUUCUGUCGCAUACAGUGGUUGGGACUGAGGAACGCAGCUUGCCUUUAUGGCCGGGAUUUAUCCACGUACAAGCUUAGGAUGUUGACAUAAUGGCUUU
rnacentral:rRNA from 1 species